rnacentral:rRNA from 1 species
AGCAGUCGCCACGGUAAUACGUAGGUGGCAAGCGUUAUCCGGAAUUAUUGGGCGUAAAGCGCGCGUAGGCGGUUUUUUAAGUCUGAUGUGAAAGCCCACGGCUCAACCGUGGAGGGUCAUUGGAAACUGGAAAACUUGAGUGCAGAAGAGGAAAGUGGAAUUCCAUGUGUAGCGGUGAAAUGCGCAGAGAUAUGGAGGAACACCAGUGGCGAAGGCGACUUUCUGGUCUGUAACUGACGCUGAUGUGCGAAAGCGUGGGGAUCAAACAGGAUUAGAGACCCGAGUAGUCCCUGUCUCUUAUAC